rnacentral:tRNA from 1 species
GCCCUCGUGGUUUAAUAUUAGGCACGUACGGCUAACAAUCGAGAGGUCUGGAGUUCAAAUCUCGGCGAGGGCA